GCCUCUGUAGCUCAGUUGGUUAGAGCCAGCACCGGAAUCGCAGGGCCGUAGGUUCAAUUCCUACCAGAGGAC